rnacentral:rRNA from 1 species
GACAGAGGGUGCGAACGUUGCUCGGAAUUACUGGGCGUAAAGCGCGUGUAGGUGGAUUGGUGUGUCAGAUGUGAAAUCCCUGGGCUCAAUCCAGGAACUGCACCUGAAACUACCAGUCUUGAGUGGUGGAGAGGGAAGUGGAAUUCCUGGUGUAGAGGUGAAAUUCGUAGAUAUCAGGAGGAACACCAAUGGCGAAGGCAGCACUCUGGGACGUGACUGACGCUGAGACGCGAAAGCGUGGGGAGCAAACAGG